UUAAUAAGAAGCAAUUUUUGCAUUUAGUUUCGACCUAAAAGUUUGAUAUUUAGUUAUCCUUAUUU
rnacentral:tRNA from 1 species